AAUAAGUGCAGCAAUGGUUUUCCGCGCCCAACUUUGACCAUUCGUCUUAUUUGAAAUUUUUUUGAAAAAAAAUUAAAAACAUAAGUCACGAGUAAAGUACUAUUCAUAUUUUAUCAUCUCAUAACAACAAAAAUGCUAAUUAUAAAAAAAUUUCAAAUAAGACGAACGAUCAAAGUUGAGCGCGAAAACUCAUGGCUGCACUUAUU
rnacentral:pre_miRNA from 1 species